rnacentral:rRNA from 1 species
CCUACGGGAGGCAGCAGUGAGGAAUAUUGGUCAAUGGUCGGGAGACUGAACCAGCCAAGCCGCGUGAGGGAGGAAGGUACAGAGUAUCGUAAACCUCUUUUGUCAGGGAACAAAGGCGGGGACGUGUCCCCGGCUGAGUGUACCUGAAGAAAAAGCAUCGGCUAACUCCGUGCCAGCAGCCGCGGUAAUACGGAGGAUGCGAGCGUUAUCCGGAUUUAUUGGGUUUAAAGGGUGCGUAGGCGGUCCGUUAAGUCAGCGGUUCAAGCCCGGGGGUCAACCCCGGGACGGCCGUUGAAACUGGCAGUCUCGAGUGUGAGAGAAGUAUGCGGAAUGCGCGGUGUAGCGGUGAAAUGCAUAGAGAUCGCGCAGAACUCCGAUUGCGAAGGCAGCAUGCCGGCUCCACACUGACGCUGAGGCACGAAAGCGUGGGUAGCGAACAGGAUUAGAUACCCUAGUAGUC